GAUGAACGCUGGCGGCGUGCCUAAUACAUGCAAGUCGAGCGAAUGGAUUAAGAGCUUGCUCUUAUGAAGUUAGCGGCGGACGGGUGAGUAACACGUGGGUAACCUGCCCAUAAGACUGGGAUAACUCCGGGAAACCGGGGCUAAUACCGGAUAACAUUUUGAACCGCAUGGUUCGAAAUUGAAAGGCGGCUUCGGCUGUCACUUAUGGAUGGACCCGCGUCGCAUUAGCUAGUUGGUAAGGUAACGGCUCACCAAGGCAAAGAUGCGUAGCCGACGUGAGAGGGUGAACGGCCAAACUGGGACUGAGACACGGCCCAGACUCCUACGGGAGGCAGCAGUAGGGAAUCUUCCAAAAUGGACGAAAGUCUGACGGAGCAACGCCGCGUGAGUGAUGAAGGCUUUCGGGUCGUAAAACUCUGUUGUUAGGGAAGAACAAGUGCUAGUUGAAUAAGCUGACACCUUGACGGUACCUAACCAGAAAGCCACGGCUAACUACGUGCCAGCCGCCGCAGUAA
rnacentral:rRNA from 1 species